rnacentral:lncRNA from 1 species
AGCUUGGACUGGGAGAACUGGGAGCACUGGGAGCAGGGGGCUGAGGGGACGGGGACUGGGAGCGGGGACUGGGAGCGCUGGGAACAGGAAGCGGUGUUGCUGGGAAGAGGAAUGGGGAGACUGGAAGCAGGCACUGGGAGGUACUGGGAGCACUGGGGGUGAGGGACGGGGUUACUGGGAGCAGGGACUGGGGGAGCACGGGGGGCUGGGACUGGGAGUACGGGACUGGGGGUACUGGGGGUACUGGGCGCAGGGACCGGGGGUGGAGGCUCGAGAGGGAGCUGCAGGGAGGCACUGGGAGCACUGGGGGGCAGCACUGGGAGCUCCGGAGGAUAGCACUGGGAUGCUAUGGGACGGCACUGGGAGCACUGGAGAUAGCACUGGUCACCAUGGGAUGCUGUGGGACGGCACUGGGUGGCGCUGGGGUGCUGUGGGACUGCACUGAGAGAGCACUAGUCAUACUGGGAGCUGUGGGACAGCACAGGAUGGGAGUACUGGGAGCACUGGGAUGCUAUGGGACAGCACUGGGAGCACCACUGGGAUGCUUUGGGACAGCACUGGGAGCACCACUGGGAUACUAUGGGACAGCACUGGGAGCACCACUGGGAUGCUAUGGGGCAGCACUGGAAGCACUGGAACACUACUGGGAUGCUGUGGGACAGCACUGGGAGCACCACUGGGAUGCUAUGGGACUUCACUGGGAGCACUGGGAUGCUAUGGGGCAGCACUGGGAGCACUGGGAGCACAACUGGGAUGCAAUGGGGCAGCACUGGGAGCACCACUGGGAUGCUGUGGGGCAGCCAGUGGGUGCUGAGGGCCCCCCCUCUCGCCCAGGCCCCCCCCCCCCGCCAUGCCCGUGCCGUGGGGCUGACCACGCCGUGGGUCGGAGCCGUGGGUCGGAGCCGUGGGGCGCCCCAUGCUCCCGCGGGCGCUGCGGGCGCUGCUGGAGGGGGCCCGGCCCCCCCUGGGCCAGGAGCCGGGGGUGGUGCUCAGCUCCUACCGGCCCUGCCCCCCCGACGAGGACCCCCCCCCAGGCGGAGGUGCGCGAGGACGACGCCGUCUUCACCCUGGCCCCCCGGCCCGGGGCGCCCCCCGCCCGCCUGCUGCGCGCCGCCCCCCUGCCCCGCCUGGUGCGGCACCUGCUGGAGGCCCCCGCCCGCGGGGACGGAGCCUUCGUCCCCACCUUCCUCGCCACCUUCCGUGCCUUCACCCAGCCCCACGACGUCCUGCGCCUGCUGCUCGCCAGGUGGGGGCGCGGGGACGUUUGGGGGGGGACUUGGGGACGUUGUGGGGGGGGCUUGGGGAUGUUGGGGGGGUUCUUUGGGAUAUUUUGUGGGUGCUUGGGGACAUCACAUGGGGACUUGGGGACGUUACAUGGGGGCUUGGGGA